rnacentral:rRNA from 1 species
GGGUGCAAUCAUACUAGCAUUAAUGCACUAGAUCCCAUCAAAACUCUGUAGUUAAGCAUGCUUGGGCUAGAGUAGUACCGGGAUGGGUGACCUCUCAGGAAGUCCUAGUGUUGCACCCU